UUUGAUCUGCUAAAAGAUGGUUCAUUUUUUACUAGUGAAAUUUCUUCAAAUUAUAGUUGAUAUACUUUAAAUUACUCUUGCAUCAUUUAGAUUAAAAUAAAACAAAAAAUGAUACUCUUAUAUACAAAAUAAUACUUCAACCAUGAAAUCCCUCUCCUUCUUUCUUUUUUUUUCGAAGCAAUCUCUUAGCCUUUUACAUACACAGUGAUGCAUAUUAUAUGCCCCGCCGGUAUGUUAAAAAAAGAAACCGAAAAUUAACGUGGUAACCCUAACAAUUUGAAAAAUGUUUAGAAGAGAGCUGUUUAGCACUCACGAUGUUUUAGUGAUUAGCUGUGAUCAGCCCUGAGAGAGUUGGAAAGGAAGUAAACACAAAUCUCUCACCGUAUAUUGGGUGGACAUAGGCAAGAAUUACUCUGAUAGAUCUGAUACUCCUUAAUUCAAAUCUGAGUGUAACGAGGCCUUUCUUAUAUGACUCCUCUGUCUUUAGUGUUAACGCACUCCUUUAUCCCGCAUAAUUUCUCCCUUUUUCUUAUUAUUAUCCUUGAUUCCAUCUUUACUAUAGCUCUUUCUAUUUUUUGAGGACAUUUUUGACAAAACCUCUCCUUUUUCAAUAAUUUUAAGUAUUUUUUUUAAGUUUUUUUCUCUUUGAAAAAAAAAGAAGAAAUAAUUAGAAAAAUUAGAGAAAGAGAAGGAGCGGAUGAAAUUGCAACAGUUUCUUCGGUUUAAUGUUCGAAUCAGUGUUAUGUACUUACAAGUUCAAACCAUAACAUUAUAAGACAAUCAAAUACAAUUAUUACCCCCAUUACGUCAGUUAAAAAACAGAAGAUAAACACAGAUAUUACUGAUUACUUCAAUAGAUUGAAAUUUACUUAUGAUUCUUCCCCAAAAAUUAGAGGAAUAUUUUUGUCACUCUUCGUUACAUCCAUUCAGGGAGUACUAUAUACAUGGAGAGUUCAUGCAUUUUCUGGAAACACUUAGGUUGACAUUAAAAAAUAACAAUCAUCGUUAUUAUUUCUACAUGGCUAAAAAACUCUUUUAUUUCAUCAGAUUAUAGCUAAGGGAAUCCAUCUAUUCAUAUCCUGGCUUCAGUUUCCCUGCUUCUCCGGAGAUAGUUUCUUGAUGAGUUUCGACUGGCUCUCCUCAUCUUCACUUAGAUGUUUAUGUAAAAGAAGUUCAAAUCUCAGAAUAUGUUUACUUAGUGACCAAUGAA
rnacentral:lncRNA from 1 species